UCGCUGAGAGAAUAGUUUCCACGGUCGCUGAGAGAAGAGUUUUCACGAGGGCGGAGAGAAGAGUUUUCAUAUUAAACAUGAAGAGGACACUUCGCGAUACUCUAUUAGUCGGAGGGUUAAACCUUAAGGGAAAAAAAAAAGAUUUUCACGCUGAUUUCGUUAUUUUUUUGGUUUUACAAACCUAAUCUUCUGCGGCACCUCUUCCUCUCCCUGUUCUCUUUCUCUUGAGUUUCUGCAGAAAUCGAGCCAUAACGUUGAUAUGCUAUUCAAUACCGCUAAUCCAGUUACCAAAAAUAUGGUUCUUCUCUCUAUCAAUUGAGUUAUAUUCAGGUUUUCCAUUUGAUCAAGUUUGAGUAUAAUGGAUCGAAUAAAUUUGGUGUUAGAUUUGGGGGUUUCUGAAUUGAAGUCUGAACUGAAAAGGAUUUUUGGUUUUGUGGGUAUGUAAUUUGGGUUCGAUUAGAAGUUAUGGCUAAGAGCGAUUGAAACUGAGAUGUUGAAAACCUAAAACUACUUCCGCCGUCUCUUCUCCCCAUAUCCCAUUCCAUUAUCUUCUUUUCUCUAUUCUGUAUAUGCUUUAGUAAUACUUGCUUUGAUUUUGAUUUUCAGAAUUUUGUUUUAACUUUAGUUUACUGCUUUCAUUAACAUAUUUCGGCAGGUGGUUUUGCAGGUCCUGGACAAUCUUUAUCAUUUGGUUUAGUUUGGUGUUGGGGAGUAUAGUGCAGCUGAAAUGGUUAGAAUGGUGUUGGUGGUAAUGAAAGCAAGAGACAGAGAGACCUGGAAGUGGAAUUGCAGCUGAAAUGGUUCUCUUUCACAUUAAACUCAUGUAUUUCCACUAUACAGUCCAUACUACCACCAGCCGGGAGGAGUUACCUGUUCGCAUCCAUCACCAGCAUACAGGCAGCAUGGAGCACAAAUAAUACAGCCCCAAGGCAGCAGCGGUUCACAUACGCCACCACCACUCCAUUAUCAACAGGCCAUACCUUCGCCAACACCAUCAGUCCAUAUUCACCUCCACCUGCAGCUGUUUGGCUCAUGUCACUUUAUGUAUCCAAUUCAUUUACAGUACAUUUUUAUUUUUUUAAAUAUAAGUCAAUUGCAGAGGGCAAGCAUAUCUCUAACGCGAAGCGAAAAUAUUCUCUAAUUUCCAUGUUUUGUUUAUCAAGCACUUAUUUCACAUUAGUAGAUUUACCUGCUCUUACUUUGGUUGCAAUGGGUGAUUUAAGCAACUGCUGAUAAGGAUGGGGAAGUCAAGGAGAAGGUAGCAUAUAUGGAACAUGUUUAACAACGGUCGACCAAAGUUAGAGUUGAAGCAAUUUACCCCAUUGCAUAUAAGAUGAUGGAGAUAGUCAUGAUGUCAUUGCUUAUACUGGACAAGGGGGUAAUGAGAUACUAGGCAAUAAACGUCAAAAAGCUGAUCAUGAAAGCAAAUGCGGCAAUUUGUCUCUUAGGUGAUCCGCUAAGGUUAAUUAGCAAGGUAUGAGUCGUAUGACUAUGGAUUAUGGGGUACAUCAAACAGUACAGUGUUUCCAACCUCCGGCGUUUGACAUAACGAGUACACCAACUUCUUUACGUAUAUGGAUGGGUUCAAGGGGUAAUGAUGCCUUAGAAGAUGUGACUGAUCCAGAGCAAACUGUGAAUGAGUUGAAGUCUAGACUGCAAUCGAUGUAUCUUGAAGAUUAUGGUCACGUCGACUUCAUCUUGAGUGUGAAUGCUUACAAAGAUGUAUACUGCCAUAUGAUUCCAAGUAUUAAGAAGCAGGCUCUUGGUCAAUUGGGCUAUUCCAUGCUUGAUAUGGAUUUGCUACUGAUAUUUUUUUUAUAAUACAUUCUAAGAAGAAGAGGAUACUAUAGUGAGAUAAGAGCAAUAUGUGCCACACACAAGAUGUGCCACUUGAUAAGGAUGAGGAUAUUGCAACUGCAAUUUUAAUGAAUAAGAAAACGUUGCCUCUGUCUCGGGACAGAUCCACCGUCCAAAAGGGGUGGGACAAAUCUGAGCGUCCAAACAUGGCUAGCCUUUUAUAAAACGAAUUCCGAGACGAGCAACGCGAAAAUUUUGUCACGAGUUGAGGAAGUCUGGACUGAGCUUUGAAAUAGAAGAAGAUGGUGAUUGGUGAUUGCUUCCAUAAAUAUGGCUAAGCUUGAAGGCCUGAGAUGGGUUUCGAAAACAAACUAAAGAAGAUAGUCUCUAUUGUUGAUAGCCAGCCGCUGUCGUCGACUGUUGGUGACCAACGGGGGAGAAAUUGAAGGGUUUAAGAACAAAUUAAGAACCCCUAAUUAAGAGUUUUGGCAAGAAUAGAUAUGUGGGGUUCUGCUGGUUGCUGCUUUAGAGUAGGUUUAAGAACCCGUAGCUCAUUGGUCGAGAUUUUCUAUUGCAAAACCUUUAUAAGAUGCAUAAUCAAUUAAUGUUCAAUCUCAAUCUCAUUCAAUCAAAGAUGAAGUUUUGCUUCCUCAGUUUUGUAUCACCUAAGGGUGGGAAGCUGAAUUGAACAUCUUAUAGAACCUCCGAUAUUGUGUCAACUUAGAAGAGCUGAAACUUUGUAAACAUCUCUGGCUAAUACGAGCAACCAAAUGUUUAACUGUUAUGAAUGAGUCUACCAAGCACAAAGAGUUCAAUUGAAGAUGAAUUCAGUUCCAUAUCAGGGUCUUGAGGGUAUAAAGGAGCACCAUGGAUACCCCAGAGGUUGUCCUUAUGAGGCUAAAAAUGUAGUGGAUGGUGUGCUUGGAUGAUGUAUCUAAUGGGUUAUCCUUACACUCCCUUAGGAUUAAGAUUGAGCUAAAAUGCAAAUAUAUACAAGUUUCUUCUUUGUCUGUGGGAUUAAGAGGAAUCUCUGUUCAGUAUGGUGCAAGUUUAUGGAAGUAGAAAGAUCAGGAAAUGCUCAUGUGCUGGCAAGUUUGUAAUUGGAUAUACAAACACAACUUGCACAAUACAUGGACUUUGCAAAUUAGUAGACAAAGAAAUUCCAGUCCCGCUAGUUACAAAUGGAUGGAUUCAAAUGCUUAAAAGAGUGGACAAGCAAGAAGAGCAGAGAAAAUGUCAGCACUUAUAGCAUGACGUCUUGACUCGAAUCUUCUCGAUAAGGCGGCGUCUAAAAAUUUGUUGGUGUGGUGCUAACUUGCCCUACCAACAAUUAAGCUCCAAGUUAUGGAAAGCAGCUAUAUAUAUACCAAAUUACACAUUCGUUUAUAUUGGCAUUCCUUUGUUCAUAAAGUCUGCGGUUUAACAUAAUUAAUUUAUUUUUGCUCCAUAAGUUCAUGGUGCUUGAGCUGUCGGACGCAGUACAACAUAA